UACGUAGGGACCAAGCGUUGUUCGGAUUUACUGGGCGUAAAGGGCGCGUAGGCGGCGUGUUGAGUCAGCUGUGAAAUCUCCGAGCUUAACUCGGAACGGUCAGCUGAUACUGAUGUGCUAGAGUGCAGAAGGGGCAAUCGGAAUUCUUGGUGUAGCGGUGAAAUGCGUAGAUAUCAAGAGGAACACCUGAGGUGAAGACGGGUUGCUGGGCUGACACUGACGCUGAGGCGCGAAAGCCAGGGGAGCAAACGGG
rnacentral:rRNA from 1 species